GGAUUGUUGCUCAACGGUUAGAGCGCUCACCUAGCACAGGCAGGGCACUGGGUUCGAUCCUCAGCACCA
rnacentral:tRNA from 1 species